rnacentral:rRNA from 1 species
GAUGAACGCUAGCGGGAGGCUUAACACAUGCAAGUCGAGGGGCAGCACGGGGUAGCAAUACUCUGGUGGCGACCGGCGCACGGGUGAGUAACGCGUAUGCAACCUGCCUUGUACUGGGGGAUAGCCCGGAGAAAUUCGGAUUAAUACCCCAUAACGAUAUAGAAUGGCAUCAUUUUAUAUUUAAAGAUUUAUCGGUACAGGAUGGGCAUGCGUAACAUUAGCUAGUUGGUAGGGUAACGGCCUACCAAGGCAACGAUGUUUAGGGGUCCUGAGAGGGUGAUCCCCCACACUGGUACUGACACACGGACCAGACUCCUACGGGAGGCGGCAGUGAGGAAUAUUGGUCAAUGGGCGCAAGCCUGAACCAGCCAUCCCGCGUGCAGGAAGACGGCGCUAUGCGCUGUAAACUGCUUUUCCAGGGGAAGAAAACUUCCGUCGUGACGGGACUUGCCGGUACCCUGGGAAUAAGCAUCGGCUAACUCCGUGCCAGCCGCCGCAGUAACAC